rnacentral:tRNA from 1 species
UAGGAUAUAGUACAUAGGUAGUACGUAGAAUUUUGAAUUCUAAGGCGUAGGUUCAAUUCCUAUUAUUCUAG